rnacentral:rRNA from 1 species
AGUGAACGCUGGCGGUAGGCCUAACACAUGCAAGUCGAACGGCAGCACAGUAAGAGCUUGCUCUUACGGGUGGCGAGUGGCGGACGAGUGAGGAAUACAUCGGAAUCUACUUUUUCGUGGGGGAUAACGUAGGGAAACUUACGCUAAUACCGCAUACGACCUACGGGUGAAAGCAGGGGAUCUUCGGACCUUGCGCGAUUGAAUGAGCCGAUGUCGGAUUAGCUAGUUGGCGGGGUAAAGGCCCACCAAGGCGACGAUCCGUAGCUGGUCUGAGAGGAUGAUCAGCAACACUGGAACUGAGAAACGUUCCAGACUCUUACGGGAGGCAGCAGUGGGGAAUAUUGGACAAGGGGCGAAGGCCUGACCCAGCCAUACCGCGUGGGUGAAGAAGGCCUUCGGGUUGUAAAGCCCUUUUGUGGGGAAAGAAAAGCAGCAGGUUAAUACCCCGCUGUUCUGACGGUACCAAAAGAAUAAGCACCGGCUACCUUCGU